rnacentral:rRNA from 1 species
UACAGAGGGGGCCAGCGUUAUUCGGAAUUACUGGGCGUAAAGGGCGCGUAGGCGGCCUGUUAAGUCGAACGUGAAAUCCCCGGGCUCAACCCGGGAACUGCGUCCGAUACUGGCAGGCUUGAAUUCGGGAGAGGGAUGUGGAAUUCCAGGUGUAGCGGUGAAAUGCGUAGAUAUCUGGAGGAACACCGGUGGCGAAGGCGGCAUCCUGGACCGAUAUUGACGCUGAUGCGCGAAAGCCAGGGGAGCAAACGGG